rnacentral:rRNA from 1 species
AGCGAACGCUGGCGGCAGGCUUAACACAUGCAAGUCGAGCGCCCCGCAAGGGGAGCGGCAGACGGGAGAGUAACACGUGGGAACAUACCUUUUGGUUCGGAACAACUGAGGGAAACUUCAGCUAAUACCGGAUAAGCCCUUACGGGGAAAGAUUUAUCGCCGAAAGAUUGGCCCGCGUCUGAUUAGCUAGUUGGUGAGGUAACGGCUCACCAAGGCGACGAUCAGUAGCUGGUCUGAGAGGAUGAUCAGCCUCACUGGGACUGAGACACGGCCCAGACUCCUACGGGAGGCAGCAGUGGGGAAUAUUGGACCAUGGGGGCAACCCUGAUCCAGCCAUGCCGCGUGAGUGAUGAAGGCCUUAGGGUUGCAAAGCUCUUUUGCCCGGGAAGAUAAUGACGGUACCGGGAGAAUAAGCCCCGGCUAACUUCGUG